rnacentral:lncRNA from 1 species
CUGGAUAGGACCUUAAAAGGCUGUUGGAGAAGAAAAGGUGGGUUAAUUUGGCUCUUUUAGGGCUUAAGGGAGGAGUGAGUAGCAGGAGGUCGGCUAGGGGCGUUCGGAGUUGGGUUUGAAGGAGUGGGCCUUGGGGUUAAUUUGGAGGCCUAGGUAACAAAAGUUGGGCCAAGAAAGGACCUUUGGUUUAAUUGGGGAGGGAUUAUGCUUUUGAGUAGGAGGCUGUUGGGCCUAGCCCAAGUCAAUGGGCUGGGCAAUUUUCACUUGCUGGGUUAAGGAACCAGGAGGGCCGUCAGAUUGUGGGGCUUCUUUUAAUUGAGACUCUUUGCAAAGAGGGUCGAUAUGGUGCAGGGGCGAGAUUACGACUGGAGCUGAGGCGAUGCAACCUUCGUAAAUGAAGUUCAGUAGCCUGAUCACGGACGGGGCCCUUUCGGUAGAUGUGGAAAGAUUUCCAAGUGUCGUUUCUUCCCCUAUCUUUUCUAUGGAAAUAAGGGUUGCCUCUUCUUCUUCUCCUCCUUCUGAGAGUGGGUUAGCUCUUGAGGAGAGGAGAGUGUUUUCUUAAUUGUCGUCGAAGAGGAAGGGGUGGGUCCGU